AAUUUCUGAUGCAAUGCAUCGUGUUCCUGCAGACCAUGAAAUUUCCUUCACCUUGAAUCUUUACCCAGAUGGCUAUUCUAUUGGAAAGCCCCAAGAGGAAGCUUUGCAUCCUGUUCCGGAUGCUCCAAAUUUGCAUCCAUAUGAUAGGUCAUCUGAAACUCUCUUUUCA